CAGCGGAGCAUGUGGUUUAAUUCGACGCAACGCGAAGAACCUUACCUGGGCUUGACAUGGCGGUCGUACCUGUGGAAACAAGGCGGGACCUACAGGUGUGACGAGCGCAACCCCUGUCGCAUGUUGCCAGCGGGAUGUCAAGUCUCAUGCCCCUUAUGUCCAGGCUACAUACAUGGCCGGUACAAGGGCGGCGAUACCGUGAGGUGGAGCGUCCCAAAAAGCCGGUCUCGGUUCGGAUUGAAGUGAAACUCGCCUUCAUGAAGGCGGAGUUGCUAGUAAUCGGAAUCAGCAACGUCGCGGUGAAUACGUUCCCGGGCCUUGUACACACCGCCGUCACACCACGAAAGUGGGCAACACCCGAAGCCGGUGAUCCAACCCUUACGGGAGGAAGCCGUCGAAGUGGGGCUCAUGAUUGGGGUGAAGUCGUA
rnacentral:rRNA from 1 species